GAAAAACAUGAGAUGAAACUUUUUUCAGCUAUCACUACAAACAGGACAGAGUCCGUAUUAAAACUAAUCACUUGCUGAUACUACAUGGAUAUUGUUUGACUGCUACUCUAAAUACAGUAACACAACCCUAAUUACAGACCAGAAAGAAGCAAGUUACCCAGGACAAAAGAAAUGGAUGUACAUACAAAUAACCAAAUGCAAGCUUUAAACUGAAGGAACAUUUAACAGAGCUAUGGGAUAUGUGGUGACAAUAGGAGAGGCACAGUUAAGGAUGGGCAAGGUGAACAGGACAGGCUGUCCUUUGUAGUCAUUUGCACAAAGGUACAGUGCCAUCAGCCAGAUGUCAAGGGACAGUACAAAGCAGACGAGAGAUGGGAGGCCUUAGUCAAUUCAGAAAACACAUCUUCAGUGUUGUGGCAGAUGGCCAGGAGCUUUGUCCGGUUGAGAUGCCCUUCUGAUGAGAGGACUGGGGGAGAGAACAUGUCAACAGCAGUACAUUCCCUGGAACAUGAGAGCACAGCACCCCUGGAUAACAUCAGGGCCACCAUUGGUGGAACCGACGUCAUGAGGUGGAGGACAGAGCUUGCAGGAGAGGAGUGGAGGUGGCAAAAGAGAAACAAAAUAAUAGAGAGAGAAUUUGUGUACUGUGUCGUGUAAGGCAAGAAGAAAAUAAAUCCUGUGUGCUUUGAGACUUGUUAUUGUGCCUGUCUGUGUCGGGGGGCUGGUUUUCCACAGUGUGAAAGUGAAAACAGAUUUCCACAAAGCAGUCUAAAUCAAUGACAAAAUAAAACACUAAAUUAAUAUUUGCCUAAGUA